CCCAACCCCAGGCUAUUAACUCUUGUUUGGUGGAAUUAUUUUCCAAAAGACAGGUCCAUCCAUGCUGUUGUACAUGAAAUAUGGAUGUGAUGCCUGGAGGUAAAGCAGCCAUCUUACAACCAUGAAGCAAGAAGCCUCCUACUAAGGAUGGUAGGAAGAGAAG